ensembl:lncRNA
GCCCACUGGUUGGGAUGUGGACAAUGAGGUUUGAGGCAAAACUGUUUUUGUUUUUUUAAGCAGGUUGUUUCGUCACACUCGCUGCUUUAAAAACAUACUCUUCUCCCUGGCGGUGAAGCAUCAGUUUAUGAUGGCAUAUCACUUGGAGUCGGACACAACCAAAAUGUCCAGCUUGACUGUCUCUGCUGUUUCAACUGUCUCCGUUGAUAUUUUGCAUCACGAUAUACAAAAGGUUCUGCAGCUGAAAGACCCUGAUAUUACUCACUGUCAGCUCGCAAAGAAUGAGUCUGUUAAUGGAGUGAACUACAGGGAAGGUAUGGUCGUUGUUCAUGGCUCAGCUGUUUUCCAGAGUUUGCAGAUUAUCCAGAUGGUUGUUGUGGAGAAGAGCUUGAGCUUUAUUGUGAAAGAGCGGAGUGCUUGGUAUAGACGUUUCCCGGGCACUUCCGGUUUACUUCGUGUUUCUGUUAGAACUUCCGGCGCAUGCUGAGUAGUGGUGUAAAAAUGGCUUAAAGUUUUUUUCAUUUCAAGUAUGCAGGCUUAGCCUACACCACCUAACACAGAGGCGCCACUGGGUGGAGUUGAACCCGAGGGAUCUGUCUGGGAGGCGAGAGUGCUAACCACUACACCACUGUACCGUGUCAACUGCUGCCAUUAGAAUGUCUUAUGACUCCAAUUUAGAAAAAAUUCGGAUUUUUAUUCAAAAGUAGGUUUUCUCACCAUCCUGCACCUUCAUAUGACUAAAGAUAGAAUUUAAUGACUUUUUGCAAAAUAUUUUGGGAUUCUUUUCGGACGCGGAAGUUUAAAAAAAGUUUUUUCCAUUACUUUUACAAGUAUGGAGUGAACCUCAUGCAGGCUUAGCCUACACCACCUAACACAGUGGCGCACCGGGUGGAGUUGAACCUCGAGGCAUCUGUCUGCGAGGCGAGAGUGCUAAUCACUACACCACUGUACCGUGUCAACUGCUGCCAUUAGAAUGUCUUAUGACUCCAAUUUAGAAAAAAUUUCUUUUUUUAUUCAAAAGUACGUUUUCUCACCGGCGUCCCCCUUCAUAUGAUUAAAGAUAGAAUUUCAUGACUUUUUGCAAAAUAUUUGGGGAUUCUUUUCAGAUACUGAAGUUUUAAAAAAAAAUGUUCCAUUACUUUUACAAGUGUGGAGUGAAUCCCAUGUAGGCUUAGCCUACACCACCUAACACAGAGGAUCCACUGGGUGGAGUUGAACCCGAGGCAUCUGUCUGGGAGGCGAGAGUGCUAACCACUACACCACUGUACCGUGUCAACUGCUGCCAUUAGAAUGUCUAAUUACUCCAAUUUAGAAAAAAUUCAGAUUUUUAUUCAAAAGUACGUUUUCUCACCGUCGUCCCCCUUCAUAUGACUAAAGAUAGAAUUUCACCACUGUACCGUAUAAACUGCUGCCAUUAGAAUGUCUUAUGACUCCAAUUUAGAAAAAAUUCUGAUUUUUAUUCAAAAGUACGUUUUUUCACCGUCGUCCCCCUUCAUAUGACUAAAGAUAGAAUUUAAUGACUUCUUGUAAAAUAUUUGGGGAUUCUUUUCAGACUUGGAAGUUUAAAAAAAGUUUUUUCCAUUACUUUUACAAGUAUGGACUGAACCCCAUGCAGGCUUAGCCUAAACCACCUAACACAGAGGCGCCACUGGGUGGAAUUGAACCUGAAGCAUCUCUCUGGGAGGCGAGAGUGCUAACCACUACACCACUGUACCGUGUCAACUGCUGCCAUUAGAAUGUCUUAUGACUUCAAUUUAGAAAAAAUUCGGAGUUUUUAUUCAAAAGUAGGUUUUCUCACCGUCGUCCCCCUUCAGAUGACUCAAGAUAGAAUUUCAUGACAUUUGCAAAAUAUUUUGGCAUUUAUUUCAGACUUGGAAGUUUAAAAAAAGUUUUUUUCAUUACUUUUACAAGUAUGGACUAAACCCAUGCAGGCUUAGCCUACACCACCUAACACAGUGGUGCCACUGGGUGGAGUUGAACCCGAAGCAUCUGUGUGGGAGGCGAGAGUGCUAACCACUACACCACUGUACCGUGUCAACUGCUGCCAUUAGAAUGUCUUAUGACUUCAAUUUAGAAAAAAUUCGGAUUUUUAUUCAAAAGUAGGUUUUCUCACCGUCGUCCCCCUUCAGAUGACUCAAGAUAGAAUUCAUGACAUUUGCAAAAUAUUUUGGCAUUUAUUUCAGACUUGGAAGUUUAAAAAAAGUUUUUUUCAUUACUUUUACAAGUAUGGAGUGAAGCCCAUGCAGGCUUAGCCUACACCACCUAACACAGUGGCGCCACUGGGUGGAGUUGAACCCGAGGCAUCUGUCUGGGAGGCGAGAGUGCUAACCACUACACCACUGUACCGUGUCAACUGCCUGCCU